rnacentral:piRNA from 1 species
UGUGCAAAUAGUGGGUCUUUGUGUAUUU